ensembl:snRNA LOC120102618 U7 small nuclear RNA
GAGUAAAUACAGCUCUUUUAGAAUUCUUUUCUAACAGUUUUUCUGACUUUGAUCAGAAAAACCUA